rnacentral:rRNA from 1 species
UACGGAAGGCAGCAGUGGGGAAUAUUGCACAAUGGGCGCAAGCCUGAUGCAGCCAUGCCGCGUGUAUGAAAAAGGCCUUCGGGUUGUAAAGUACUUUCAGUCGUGAGGAAGGUGUUAAGGUUAAUAACCUUAGCAAUUGACGUUAGCGACAGAAGAAGCACCGGCUAACUCCGUGCCAGCAGCCGCGGUAAUACGGAGGGUGCGAGCGUUAAUCGGAAUUACUGGGCGUAAAGGGCACGCAGGCGGUUAAUUAAGUUGGAUGUGAAAUCCCCGGGCUUAACCUGGGAAUGGCAUUCAAGACUGGUUAGCUAGAGUCUUGUAGAGGGGGUGAAAUUCCAUGUGUAGCGGUGAAAUGCGUAGAGAUGUGGAGGAAUACCGGUGGCGAAGGCGGCCCCUGGACAAAGACUGACGCUCAUGUGCGAAAGCGUGGGGAGCAAACAGGGAUUAGAUACC